rnacentral:rRNA from 1 species
CCCAGACUCCUACGGGAGGCAGCAGUGGGGAAUAUUGCACAAUGGGGGAAACCCUGAUGCAGCGACGCCGCGUGAGUGAAGAAGUAUUUCGGUAUGUAAAGCUCUAUCAGCAGGGAAGAUAAUGACGGUACCUGACUAAGAAGCCCCGGCUAACUACGUGCCAGCAGCCGCGGUAAUACGUAGGGGGCAAGCGUUAUCCGGAUUUACUGGGUGUAAAGGGUGCGCAGGUGGCAGGGCAAGUCAGAUGUGAAAGCCCGGGGCUCAACCCCGGUAUUGCAUUUGAAACUGUCCGGCUAGAGUGCAGGAGAGGUAAGCGGAAUUCCUAGUGUAGCGGUGAAAUGCGUAGAUAUUAGGAGGAACACCAGUGGCGAAGGCGGCUUACUGGACUGUAACUGACACUGAGGCACGAAAGCGUGGGGAGCAAACAGGAUUAGAUACCCCAGUA